CAGUCGCCACGGUAAUACGAAGGGUGCAAGCGUCACUCGGAAUUACUGGGCGUAAAGCGUGCGUAGGUGGUGGUUUAAGUCCGUUGUGAAAGCCCUGGGCUCAACCUGGGAAUUGCAGUGGAUACUGGGUCACUAGAGUGUGGUAGAGGAUAGUGGAAUUUCCGGUGUAGCAGUGAAAUGCGUAGAGAUCGGAAGGAACAUCUGUGGCGAAGGCGACUAUCUGGGCCAACACUGACACUGAGGCACGAAAGCGUGGGGAGCAAACAGGAUUAGAUACCCGAGUAGUCCCUGUCUCUUAUAC
rnacentral:rRNA from 1 species